GUGCACUGAACAGAGGCAGCAAGUGAGCAGAACAACUCAUCAUGACGGCUUUUUGUCCUUGUCUCCAUGCAAGCCAGGUGUUAUUUCUGUGGUUUCGGACGUUGGUAUUGAUGCACGGUUUUUUAAAAGGGGAGGCUAAAGUCCCAGAGUUUGGUAGACUGCACCUCUCCAGAUGAGAUUUUAAGAGCCCCCGAUUUUCACACAUGGGGAGAGUGAUUGCCCUCACAAACUCUUCCUCCUCAUUGUGGUUUCUAGGUUUUCACUUUGUCAGACAUUUUGAGUUUCGAUCACAAACACUCCACGUUCACAUCACCCAUGCAUGCUGCCCACCCGUAUCCACAAGGCUGCUGUGUCUACUCUGCUCCUGUUUUCCAAAGCACCCCUUCCAUCAGGAAAUGUGCCUUCCAUUCCUAGGGAUGUCAUGAUUCCCAGCUUUCAUAUCUCCUCACAGAGGAGGUUCCCAAAUUACUCUGGGUUCUCAGUCCAGAAGUUGAGCCUUUAAAACCCUUUUCUGUCAUAUGGUCAGUCCGUUGCAGGGUGCAGCCCCUCAGCAGCCAAGAUUCCCUGUGGAUAGCUCUUCAAUCUGAUUGCCUGGGCUUUCUCCAUCAUGAAACCUUUCAUCUCCUUGGUCCUUGUCACACACCCUGAACCCCAAAAUAGAAAAGCCACAACAGAAUGAAGUAGAUGAGAAACAAUCUCCUUGUUUAUAAUUCCGUUUAUUUCCUCACAUACCAGCCAAGCUUCUCAGUCAGGCAGACACAAUAGAUGGAAUGGCAAGGGAAGUGAAGAGUGGAGGCUGCAUCCCUUCAGCCGCCAGCUGAUGUUCUGCUUAUUUCGCAUACCGGAACUCCCAGGCGUCCUCAAACCACAAUCACAGUUGUUGGUUCCAGAAACAUCUUCUUUGGAAAAACAUGUGACAUCAGUUUCCUCAGAGUCUUCCGGACAAUCCAGUCACACAGAACUGACAAAACCUUGUCAGGUGAGAAGAUAAGGAUCUUCUUCAAUACAGAAUAUGUCAACAUCUCCUUCUGAAUAGUUCCGUUUAUUUGCUCACAUACCAGCCAAGCUUCUCAGUCAGCAGGCACAAUAGACUGAAUAGGAAGGGAAGUGAAGAGUGAAGUCUGGAUCCGUUUAGCCUCCAGCUGAUGUUCUGCUUAUUUCCUGUACUGGAACUCUCAGAAGUCCUCAAACCACAAUCACAGUUGUUGGUUCCAGAAACAUCUUCUUUGGAAAAACAUGUGACAUCAGUUUCCUCAGAGUCUCCCGGACAAUCCAGUCACGCAGAACUGACAAAACCUUGUCCAGUAAGAAGGUAAGAAUCUUCUUCAAUAGAGAAUACGUCAACGUCUCCGUGAACGAAGAGAUCUGCUGGUUCCAAGGACUUGUCGUGGAUUUCUGUCCUAGAUACUUUCUUCCGUAAUUCAAGAUAAAGAAAAUUACAAUCUCUGCUGUCCAUUCCAUCGCUUUUCCCUUCAGAAUCAUAAUCAGAGAAUCCUUGCAGAACGUCGUGAGUGUGCUCUCAGCUGCAAUCACCAGAAGGACUCUUCACACUCGGUGAGUCCUCCUCAUUUUAUAGAAGCCAAAGCAGUGACGUAUGCUCACCCCUCCCGCCCCCAGGAGAGAGGUUGCUGGCCAAUGAGCUUGAGCUUCGUCAUCCUUCCAAGCCCCACCCAGUUCCUUUGCUUCCCUUUCACCAACUUUGACUGAAAUGAAUAGGUUACAACCUUUAGCUUUCUGCCCCUUGGAAAACGGAAGCAUUUAGACAUCCGUAUUAAUAUUUGGAUCUAGAGUGUUCGUGUUUUAGCACUUCCUUUUUUGAAAGGAGAAGCAGACGUGUUGUGUUUUUAGGAACACUUCCAAGAAGUUUCUCCUCCUCUAUGAUGAAACCAACACAAGAAAGCCAAAAGGGCGUUUAACCCCUUGAAGCACUGAGAGUUUCCCUGCUGAUAUUCUUAGACUGUUCUUUUUCUAAAACGAGAAAGAGGUAAGUUCUCUUUUUUUUUUUACACUGCCCAAAACUCUCUCUGCUCAGUGCUGGGCACUGGAAAACAAUGGCCCUCUCUCUGGAAACCACUAUCUGCCAUCUCAAGGGCCCACUACAGGUCUGCCCAGCAUUUUCAUCCCUUCCUCAAGUCUGGUGCCCAGGACCCUCCUCUGCUCUGACAGCCAGGCAGCAGCACUCAAACUCCCCUCCCCUCUUAGCCUUCAUACCUUCAGCUGCACUUCUGCCUCUGCAGUGUCAGGAUGACCUCCCCUUCCUCCUGUCCUUCCUCAUUCUUAAGACUUCCUACCCCUUCUGGAUUAAUUUAUGGAAAACCUAAAUAAUCUCUUUCAAAUUUUAGCCCACUUUUUACAUGUAGAUUGUUUUAUAAGAUGAAUUUUAACAAACCUUUUCUAAGUUGUUCAACCAUUUUCUUUUGUCUUUUUGUUAUUUUAUUUCCUGAAUUUAAAAUAUUUGAAAACCUCUAAACUUGACAAAACUAAUUUUUUCAUAAAAGCUAUGUUCUCAUGUCCUUUUAUAAACUUUGACUUAAAAUAUAUUUUACUUGUUCAGUCAGAUUUGUGUGUGAAAAUUUUUAAGUAGCUUUAGAUACAAAUAUUAAUUAUAAUGGUAACUCUUAAGUAUGCAUUUUUAGUAAACCACUUAGGAGACAACCAAUUUUAAUUAUGUCCUUGAUGUAGAGCUUAAAGAAAAAGAUGGAGCUGUAGAAAACAUCUUAGUCUUGAAAUAUCUUACUCUUCCCAGUAUAAGGGGGGGCAUGGCCCUAUUUCACAGGUGCCCAGGCCUUAGCUAGAAAUGGAUGGUUCCAAGACAUGUCAAAAAACUGUUUGAAAGGUUUUAGAAGUUGUUAAUGACAUGAAAAUAUUUAGUAAAGGCAGUAUUUGAUCUGUCUAAUUUGGAUCCAAUAUCUAAACUCUGAAGACAUAUUUAUUUUAUUUUGCUAAUUUUAAAAGUGGCUUUAUUUUUUAAAAUAAUGUUUAUGUUUCUUUCAAUAGUGUGUGGAAUAUAUGUGGUUUUUGGUUAUGUGGAUAAAAGUUCCUUAGUGGUAAUUUCUGAGAUUUUGAGGCAUCUGUCUCCUGAGCAGUGUAUAAUAUACCCAAUAUGUCAUCAUUUAUUCCUCAUCCCCCUCCCAACCUUUCCCCGAGUCCCCAAGUCCAUUAUAUCAUUCUUAUGCCUUUGCAUUCUCAUAGCUUAACUCUCAUUUAAAAGUGAAAACAUUCAAUAUUUGAUUUGCCAUUCCUCAGUUACUUCACUUAGAAUAAUGGCUUCCAGUUCCAUCCAACUUGUUGCAAAGGACAUUAUUUUGUUCCUUUUUAUUAUCAAGUAUUAUUCCAUGGUGUACCACAUUUGCUUUAUCCACUCGUUCGUUGAUGGGCACUUAAGUUGGUCCCAUAUCACUGCAAUUGCGAAUCGGCUGCUAUAAACAUCCAUAUUCUUGUGUCUUUUUUAUGGAAUAACUUCUUUUCCUUUGGGUAGAUAGCCAGUAAUGGGAUUGCUGGAAUGAAUGGUCUACUUUUAGUUCUUUAAGGAAUCCCCAUACUGUUUACCAUAGUGGUCGGACUAGUUUAAAUUCCCACUAGCAGUGUCAAAGUGCUCCCUUUUGACCACAUCUAUGCCAACAUCUAUUGUUUUCUGACUUUUAAAUUAUGGGCUUCUAGCAAGAUUAAGAUAGCAUCUCAUUGUGGUUUUGUUGUGGGAUUUAGGAGGAUGAGAGAGAGGCUUUGGGUUAAAACAGGAGAAUCUUUUAUUGAGUGCUCUCAGGCCCAGCAGACUCACGUCCAAAGACAGGGCCUGGAACAAAGACAGCACUUGACUUUUAUACACACUUCACAAAAGGGGGUGGGCCAGCUUGAAGCAAGCUUACAGUGGUGUGAAAGCAGGGAUACAGAGGCAGGAAAAAGACAGUUAAUCAAAUUGUAACAGGUUCAUAACUCAGGAUUGCACAUAACUGUUGCUAUGCAACCCAGAUGUCUAUUAUCUAGGUUUUGCUCUAAAGAGGCUUGCAUUGGUUUAUCUUCACUAUGGUGCCUAGAGAGCUGUAGUUCAGGCCUGCUCAGGCUUCUCAUGACCUUUGCCAUACUUCUUAGAUAAAACAGAAUACUUGAAGUUACUAGUUAAAGAGAACAAGAAUCUAUAAACUCAUACCAUAAAACAAAGGAAAAUUUGUUUUUCUUCUCCCUACAUUGAAGGAGUGCUGGAAGAGUCUCCAGAAUACAAUAAAUAAUAUUAUCAAGACUUUUCCUGGGUCUGGGCUGUGCCUGUUGCUGCCUCUGGGACAAGUUAGCUUAAUACAAGAAAGCUUAUUUCCCUUUCUUUUUAAUUUUAUUUUUCUUUAAUUUCCCACCUCAGUUUUACUUUGCAUUUCCCUGAGAAUUUUUAAUAAGUAAAAUACUUAGAAAUAUACUUAACCAAGUAGGUUAAUGUAAGUUUCCUACAAGGAAAACUACAAAAUAGUGCUGAAAGAAAUCACAGUUGACACAAACAAAUGGGAACACAUUAUAAGCUUAUGAAUAGGUAGAAUCAAUAUUGUGAAAGUGACCAUACUCUCCAAAGCCAUCUACAGAGCAGUAGAAUUCUCAUCAAAAUAUCAUCAUUCUCCUUCCCAGAACUAGAAAAAAGAAUCCUAAAAUUUAUACAAAACCAAAAACGUGACCGCAUAUCCAAAGCAAUACUUUGCAAAAAGAACAAAUCUGAAGGCAGGCUUUAAAUUAUACUACAAGGCUACAAUCACCAAAAUAGCAUGAUACUGGUAUAAAAUAUGCACAUAGAGCAAUAGAACAGAAUAGAGAACCCAGAAAUAAAGCCAAAUGCUUACAGACAACUAAUCUUCAACAAAGUACACAAAAACAUUAAUUGGGGAAAGGAUACUUUAUUCAAUAAAUGGUGCAGGAAGUAUAAAAAUAGGCACAUAGAGCAAUGGAACAGAAUAGAGAACCCAGAAAUAAAGCCAAAUGCUUACAGACAACUAAUCUUCAACAAAGUAUGCAAAAACACUAAUUGGGGAAAGGACACUUUAUUCAAUAAAUGGUGCAGGAAGUAUAAAAAUAGGCACAUAGAGCAAUGGAACAGAAUAGAGAACCGAGAAACAAAGCCCGGUACUUUCAGUCACCUGAUCUUUAACAAAGCAUAUAAAAACUUCCAUCUAAGACCUGAAAGUCUAAAAAUGCUACAAGAUAGCAUCCAAAAAGCUUUUCUAGACAUUGGCUUAGGCCAAGUAGUCAUGACUAAUGCCCCAAAAGCAAACGCAAAAAUAUAAAAAUAGAAUAAGAUCAAUAGGACCUAAUGAAACCGAAAAUCUUCUGCAAGGCAGAAGAAAUAUCAGCAGGGUAAACACACAACCCACAGUAUAGGAAACAGUAGUCACAAACUAGGCAUCUGACAAAGGACUAAUGUCCAGACUCCAAAGGAACUGAAAGAAAUCAGCAAGAAGAAAAGGUGCCAUUUACCACCUUCCUGACUCAUUGGCCAGAACCAAUGUUAGUGGAAUUAACAUAUGCCCCACCCCAAGUGACUUCUAAAGGGCUAACUCACCACAAGGGAGUCAGAGCAGAUCUUGGACUGAGACCUACAGGACACAGCGACUCUUAAAUAGGUGGCUCACCAGGAGAAAGGCAUAGCAGAACCUGGACUGAGACCUACGGGAGACAGCAGGCAGACACACAGGAGGUUGGACGUCGAGAGGAGCACAUCAGUGCAAGAACACAUGGGUGGCUGCCACUUCUCUCCCUUUCCUGAGAGGGAAAAACUCUCGACGCUGAGAGGAAUCCACCAACAGGCACCAGCACUCUGGCAGGCCACCGACCAAUGGAUUGACAUAGAGUUUGGCUGGGGCAGCCAGAGGAGAGCCUGGGCCGCUGAAUAACCCGACUUCAGGGGAAAACUAUUCUCCCUUUUGGCUCCCCCAUCUGCUGAGAGCUACUUCCACUCAAUAAAACCUUGCACUCAUUCUCCAAGACCACGUGUGAUUUGAUUUUUCUGGUACACCUAGGUAACAACCGCGGGAUACAGAAAGCCCUCUGUCUUUGGGUUAAGGAAUGGGUCUAAUUGAGCUGGUUACCACAAAGCCACCUAUAGAUGGCAAAACUAAAAGAGCACAUGGUACCACAUGUCCACUGGGGCUUCAGCAGCUGUAAACAUCUACCCCUAGAUGCUGCCAUGGGGUUGUAGCCCCACAACUUGCCAGUCUGUAUGCUUCCCUAGAGGUUUGAGCAGCGGAGUACUAAAGAAGCAAGCCACACCCCCACUCCACCUCCUGUGAGGGGGACAAGGAAACUUUUCCCAUUUCAACUGGUGGCUCGUCUGGGAUCUCGGAAGAUCAUCCUGGCCUGCUAAGACCCAUCCUGUGCUUAUAAAAACCCCAAGACCCUAGCAGUCAGACACACAGGAGGCUUGACGUCGAGAGGAGCACAUCAGCGGAGGAACACACAGGCGGCUGGACAUGAAGAGGAACAUGACAACAGGCACCAGCACACCAGCAGGGCACCGACUUAUAGAACGAUGUGGAUUUUGCCUGGGGCAGUCAGAGGAGAGCCAGGGCUGCUGAACGGCCCCAAUCCAGGGAGAAACCAAUCUCCUUUCUGGCUCCCCCAUCUGCUGAGAGCUACUUCCACUCAAUAAAACCUUGCACUCAUUCUCCACGUCCACGUGUGACCUGAUUCUUCUGGAAUGCCAAGGCAAGAACCCUAGGAUACAGAAAGCCCUCUGUCCUUGUGAUAAGGAAUGUGUCUAAUUGAGCUAGUUACCACAAGUUGCCUAUAAAUGGCAAAACUAAAAGACCACACGACCACUGGGGCUUCAGGAACUGUAAACAUCCACCCCUACACACUGCCAGUAUGAGAAAAAUUUGCUGAUAUGUUUUCUGCUGACCUGAUGACAAUGUUCCUAUGGUCACACUAACCACUGCUGGGUAAUUUUCAUCAUGACUCUCGUUUUCAUCUGCUGAAACCAGCCUCCCCAAGAAAGACAACUAUUUUCAAACUGAGGAAAUAAAGUGUUACUAAACCACAGUGUUCUCUCAUGGCUGUUCCUGGAGUUCUUCAAAACACUUGAUAUUAUAAAAUAGAAUUAUUACAGAUCACUGUAUGUUAUGGAUUUAGUCAAAAUGAUAAUUUAAAAUAUGGUUUAAAAUAAAAAACUUUAUUUUCCAAAGAAGAUAGUUUUUUAAACAAGAAUAUCCAAUAAAGACAGUAUGAGGUCAGCUGACUUUAGUGUUGGUGUAUGUGUAUGUGUGUGUGUG
rnacentral:lncRNA from 10 species